GGUUCUGUGGUCUAGUGGUUAUGACUGUUCGUUGUGGAACAUCUUUAGGGAUUUCGCCGCCAUCCGAACCAGCCCGUGUUCGAUUCACGGCAGAGCCA